AUGGAUCCACGACUGGCAGUAGAUGUACUGAAACUUUUCUGAUGGUGAAUUCCUGGGAGCAAUGGCACUACCAAAAGAUAUAGUGAUUUUUAAGGGCUCUGUGGUCCUUGGCACCUGUACAACAUACAGACCAAUGAAGAUAAAUUUCUCAUGUAUCAUUAUCUGGAACACAUAGUUUGACAGAAUCCAUGGCUAGCAAAUAUAAUGACAGUGCCUAGCUCAAAGGAAAUAGGUGAAAGGGUGAAAGAAGAUGGGCAAAAGGAAUAUAGAAGAGAAAGCAUGAUGUUGGGUGGUGAG